CUGGUUGAUCCUGCCGGACCCGACCGCUAUCGGGGUGGGGCUUAGCCAUGCGAGUCAAGCGCCCCAGGGACCCGCUGGGGUGCGGCGCACGGCUCAGUAACACGUGGCCAACCUACCCUCGGGAGGGGGAUAACCCCGGGAAACUGGGGCUAAUCCCCCAUAGGGGAAGGGUGCUGGAAGGCCCCCUCCCCGAAAAGAGCCACGUCCGGCACCCGGCGUGGCUCGCCCGAGGAUGGGGCUACGGCCCAUCAUGGUAGCUGGCGGGGUAACGGCCCGCCAGGCCGAAGACGGGUGGGGGCCGUGAGAGCGGGAGCCCCGAGAUGGGCACUGAGACAAGGGCCCAGGCCCUAUGGGGUGCAGCAGGCUCGAAUACUCCGCAAUGCGGUAACCCGCGACGGGGCCACCCCGAGUGCCGCCCGAUGAGGGCGGCUUUUCCCCCGUGUAAGGAGCGGGGGGAAUAAGCGGGGGGCAAGUCUGGUGUCAGCCGCCGCGGUAAUACCAGCUCCGCGAGUGGUUGGGGCGUUUACUGGGCCUAAAGCGCCCGUAGCCGGCCCGGUAAGUCACCCCUGAAAUCCAUGGGCUCAACCCAUGGGCCGGGGGUGAUACUGCCGGGCUUGGGGGUGGGAGAGGCCGAGGGUACUCCCGAGGUAGGGGCGAAAUCCGAUAAUCUCGGGAGGACCACCAGUGGCGGAAGCGCUCGGCUGGAACACGCCCGACGGUGAGGGGCGAAAGCUGGGGGAGCAAAGGGGAUUAGAUACCCCUGUAGUCCCAGCUGUAAACGAUGCGGGCUAGCUGUUGGGUGGGCUUAGUGCCCGCCCAGUGGCGUAGGGAAGCCGUUAAGCCCGCCGCCUGGGGAGUACGGCCGCAAACCCGGCAUGGGGCAAUACCCCAACCGGGGCGGAGGGCUGAAACUUAAAGGAAAGGGAGGGUGGGCUGGAAUACUUGGAUACUUUUUCUGCCACAGAUGGGUUAAAUUAAUGGUCAAUAACCUAGGUUGGUAUUCUACUUGAGUCUAAGGGGUGAUAAUUCUUAUGUGUAAUUCCAAUGAGGGUUCCGUGGGUGAGCCUGUUAUUUCAAUAAGGGCAUAUUAUACUUGUUUAUUUCCAGUCCCACCUCCCCCUGAGUUGGCGGGGGGGCACCACAAGGGGUGAAGCUUGCGGCUUAAUUGGAGUCAACGCCGGAAACCUCACCCGGGGCGACAGCAGGAUGAAGGCCAGGCUAACGACCUUGCCGGACGAGCUGAGAGGAGGUGCAUAGGGGGUAAUCCCCCACUAGGUGAGUAAUAUUAACAUAUUAUAUAUAGGUUUAUAGUGAUUAGAAGCAUAUUCAGUGGGGGAGCCUCCGCAUAGGGCCGUCGCCAGGCACGCCCAUGGUUCCCAUGGCGUUAAAGUACUCCAUAUAUUAAGGGAAUUUUGAAUGCUAAAGAGAAUUGGGAACUAUGGCGUGGGCGAACUCGUGCCGUGAGGUGUCCAGUUAAGUCUGGCAACGAGCGCGACCCCCGCUCCCUGUUGCUACCCUACCCUUCGGGGUGGGGGGCACACAGGGAGGACUGCCGGCGUAAGCCGGAGGAAGGAGGGGGCCACGGCAGGUCAGUAUAGGGGCUCGUCCCCAUUAGGGGAGGGUCCUGCUGAAGCCCCGAAAGCCGUGGCCCUCAGGUAGAGAUGGAUUUAAACGGGGAAUAAGAUACGUUUAGAAGGGGUAUGUUCCAUUAAGGAUAAUCGAAUUUAAUACCUUUUCUUUCAUCCUACCCUUUCAUCCUACCUGAGGGCGCGGCCGGGAGACCCCGGGGCUGCACGCGAGCUGCAAUGGCGGGGACAGCGGGUUCCGACCCCGAAAGGGGGAGGCAAUCCCGUAAACCCCGCCCCAGUAGGAAUCGAGGGCUGUAACUCGCCCUCGUGAACGUGGAAUCCCUAGUAACCGCGUGUCACCAAGGGAUUGGGCCGAAGGAUUUGCAAGCUAGUAAUCAUCGGUAACUGUCUUAGAAUAUUGGAAGGUGAAUUCAAUCUCGUAUUUGUAAAUAGUUUACCUACUAAAGAGUUAAUAAUCUCCUUAUUGUCUGAUCCUUAUGCAUUUUCCUUUGGCCCAUCCCGUGAAUACGCGCGGUGAAUACGUCCCUGCCCCUU
rnacentral:rRNA from 1 species